rnacentral:rRNA from 1 species
UACGUAGGGGGCGAGCGUUGUCCGGAUUCAUUGGGCGUAAAGAGCUCGUAGGCGGUCUGUCACGUCUGCCGUGAAAACCCGAGGCUUAACCUCGUGGCUUGCGGUGGAUACGGGCAGACUAGAGGUAGGUAGGGGAGAAUGGAAUUCCCGGUGUAGCGGUGAAAUGCGCAGAUAUCGGGAGGAACACCGGUGGCGAAGGCGGUUCUCUGGGCCUUACCUGACGCUGAGGAGCGAAAGCGUGGGGAGCGAACAGG